UUCUCACAAUAAAUACAAAUUAUUUUCCCAAACAUCAUUAACUGGUUGUUCUUUGUAGCGGUGAUAUAAUGUGUUUCCUGUGAGGUACGAACUGAAACU